GCCGACUUAGCUCAGUUGGUAGAGCAGUUGACUUGUAAUCAGCAGGUCGUCGGUUCAAGUCCGACAGUCGGCUCCA
rnacentral:tRNA from 1 species